UACGAAGGGGGCUAGCGUUGCUCGGAAUCACUGGGCGUAAAGCGCACGUAGGCGGCUUCUUAAGUCAGGGGUGAAAUCCUGGAGCUCAACUCCAGAACUGCCUUUGAUACUGAGGAGCUUGAGUCCGGAAGAGGUGAGUGGAACUGCGAGUGUAGAGGUGAAAUUCGUAGAUAUUCGCAAGAACACCAGUGGCGAAGGCGGCUCGCUGGGCCAUUCCUGACGCUGAGACGCGAAAGCUAGGGGAGCGAACAGG
rnacentral:rRNA from 1 species